CUUCUAUUUCCCAGCAAAAGUUCCGAACCGAAACGCAAGGCGGCACUCCGGUUGUUGACCCCGCCCCCGCCCCUGCCCCCGCCGUCGCCGCCGCCGGGUCUCCCUUGUCCUGCUCACCGCUGUUCAUCACGCCCCUUAGGUGGAAACAGAGAGUGAAUUCCAGGCCUACAUAGCAGGGCAGUCCCACCGAACCCUCUUCUUCUGCCUCGUGAUUAGAGCACUGGCAGCAACCGCAUCUGAAAGGUUUGAGGGAAGGCGAUCCGAUAUGCAUCAGUGACAGCGAAGGUCUUCAGAAACCUGGGAUGGAAGAGAUGGUGAAGAAGGGAGCGGAGAUGCUGAAAGCGAAUACUACUCAGAUGAUGCUGCUGUGUGGACCUCCUCCGGCGCCAAACAUGGACGGGCGCGACUGAAGCUGAAGAUGGGUGGCAUGUUGGGCUCGGCAUCGUCUGCGGAGGACGUACUGCUGGGUCUUUGCUGGCGUAGGGUGUUGUAGUCUAUUUUGGUGAUUGAUGGUACUUUGGCCUUGUCCUGGUGAUGUGCGGCUGUAAUGUGUGUGAUACUUCUCUAGUUCCAUGUAGGCAGUUUCGGGUGAUAACAGGUUUUCGCCCCAUAAUCUGUUGUUCCUGAUGACAGGCGCAGAUAGUGGGUUUCCUGUUAUUGCCCCGGACUCGCUUUUCUUCUUUCCCUAGCCCUUCUAGUUUCAGUUUCCUGAGACAGUGUAUUUCCGUUAUGAAAAGUAAUGGAAAGGGGAAA